ACUAUCCUCAGCUGCUGUGAAGAUGGGACUAUAUGGCGUUGGGAUACAGUUGCAACUUCAUAGGGCCUUUAUAUAGGUUGGAUAUCAUCCGACAAUUAUCCAAGCUACCAAAAAUAUUUCUGCUCAUUAAGAUUUGAUUACUGCAGGCGGCUAAAUCUUUUAUGAGUUUUAAUUUGCAUUUUGUUUGGGUAUUACUAAACACUAAUAGUAACAUGGCUUACAUCAUUUCUAGGUGAAGAGGGGAUGAUGAGACUUGAACCCUAGCCUACUCUGGCUUUGGUUCAAUACCUCGUUUUCCUAUUUCUUUUCCUUGGUUUUGGUUGAGGGGGGAGGGGAAGGUGAUUCAAAUGUUUGCAGUUGUAAUAUAUAGGUC
rnacentral:lncRNA from 1 species